UGAAUACGAGAUGCUACGGCGUCGAAGCAGUCUAUGUCAUACUUCCAAGAAAAGCUCGCACUGUCAUAAACAAAUAAUGCCUGUACCAUAACCGACACAGGUGGGUAGGUAGAGUAUACUAAGGGGCGCGAGAUAACUCUCUCUAAGGAACUCGGCAAAAUGACUCCGUAACUUCGGGAGAAGGAGUGCCUUAUUUAUAAGGUUGCAAUAACAAGAUCCAAGCAACUGUUUAUCAAAAACACAGGUCUCCGCUAAGUCGUAAGACGAUGUAUGGGGGCUGACGCCUGCCCAGUGCCAGAAGGUUAAAGAAGUUGGUUAGCAUUCGCGAAGCUGAUAACUGAAGCCCUGGUGAACGGCGGCCGUAACUAUAACGGUCCUAAGGUAGCGAAAUUCCUUGUCGGGUAAGUUCCGACCCGCACGAAAGGCGUAAUGAUUUGGAUACUGUCUCGGAGAGGGGCUCGGUGAGAUAGACUUGUCUGUGAAGAUGCGGACUACCUGCACCAGGACAGAAAGACCCUAUGAAGCUUUACUGUAACUUGAGAUUGAAAUUGGACUUUACUUGCGCAGUAUAGGUGGGAGGCGUUGAUAAUAUUCUUGCGGGAUUAUUUGAGCCAUCAGUGAGAUACCACUCUUGUAAUGUUAGAUUUCUAACUUUGUAUCAUUAUCUGGUCAAAGGACAGUUUCAGGCGGGCAGUUUGACUGGGGCGGUCGCCUCCUAAACGGUAACGGAGGCGCACAAAGGUUUCCUCUGAACGGGUAGAAAUCGUAUCUAGAGUGUAAAGGCAUAAGGAAGCUUGACUGUGAGACCUACAAGUCGAGCAGGGACGAAAGUCGGUCUUAGUGAUCUGGCGGUGCUGAGUGGAAAGGCCGUCACUCAACGGAUAAAAGUUACUCUAAGGAUAACAGGCUGAUCUCCCCCAAGAGUUCACAUCGACGGGGAGGUUUGGCACCUUGAUGUCGGCUCAUCGCAUCCUGGGGCGGUAGUACGUCCCAAGGGUUGGGCUGUUCGCCCAUGAAAGCGGUACGCGAGCUGGGUUCAGAACGUCGUGAGACAGUUCGGUCCAUAUCCGGUGUAGGCGUUAGAAUAUUGAGAGGAGCCUUCUUUAGUACGAGAGGACCGAGAAGGACAUACCUCUGGUGUACCAGUUAUCGUGCCAACGGUAAACGCUGGGUAGCUAUGUAUGGAGUGGAUAACCGCUGAAAGCAUCUAAGUGGGAAGCCCACCUCAAGAUAAGUAUUCCC
rnacentral:rRNA from 1 species